CGAACGCCCCGCAGGGGGAGGGGCAAACGGGUGAGUAACACGUGGGAACCUUCCCUAUAGUACGGAAUACCCCAGGGAAACUUGGAGUAAUACCGUAUACCCCCGAAAGGGGAAAGAAUUUCGCUAUAGGAUGGGCCCGCGUAGGAUUAGCUAGUUGGUGAGGUAAUGGCUCACCAAGGCAACAAUCCUUAGCUGGUUUGAGAAAACGACCAGCCACACUGGGACUGAAACACGGCCCAAACUCCUACGGGAGGCAGCAGGGGGGAAUAUUGGACAAUGGGCGCAAGCCUGAUCCAGCCAUGCCGCGUGAGUGAUGAAGGCCUUAGGGUUGUAAAGCUCUUUUGGCGGGAACAAUAAUGACGGUACCCGCAAAAUAAGUCCCGGCUAACUUCGGG
rnacentral:rRNA from 1 species